GGGCCAACAUGCAGAGCAAGUAGCUCGGAGGCUUGAGGGCUACUGUGGCUUAGAUUAGGCCGCACUCUUUAGCACACAAAUGGCUUGUGGACUUUGUUUGGGGAUCGUGCUGAUUUGUUUGGUUCAAGCAGAGCAUGUAUGCUGUUUAUGGGCUAGAGACGCACAAAGCUCCCAGAUUCAAAACGGCAACGCAUAUGUUGGCUUCUCACAACAGGAUGGCAGAUAUGGUGGCACCUAUCCCCAGAAUGAAUUCAGACAGGCCUUGGACCAGAGCCUCAGUGUGGGGAAUGCAGCUAACGGUGGUUAUUAUCCCACCAAAAUGUACUCGCGGCCCCACCAGAGCUCAGUUAAAAUAGCACAUAGCAACCCUCUGUCAAAUCAUAACUGGCGUAUAACGAAAUUUAUUAGCGGUUCUCAAAGGAAGCCGUUUCCUGGCCUUUUUUCUGACCUGGCAAGUGGGAGUUCUUUGAUUAAAUGCAAUGGUGUUACUCAUGUGAUGCAGGGUACACCGAGUUCUACCAAGUAUCUUCUAUCGUCUGUUCAGAGUCCUUUUAGGGAAGGAUUUCAUUCUAAUCAGCAUGUAGCUCCGAAACCUCCCACCGCUGAUGCACCUGCGUACUAUAGUCAAACGGGUUCCUCCAGACUUUUCAGCCAAAUAGGUCCUCCAGUACCAGACAGGCCUCCUGCACAGAUGCAAACAUCAGCUAGCGCCCCUGCCAGAAGAGUGUCUACCCACCAUGCAUCUGAACCCUCUACUCGGACCACAUAUACCCUUACUGAUGCCAGAAAACCACACAUAAGCACCCUGUUUCCCAGCUUCAUUCCUGCCAACUCCAACCACCAAACACCCAGGACUAGAUACUCAGCACAGGGAACCCAUCACUUCCCUGCCUCAGUGAGAAUCGCAGCAGGAACCUCCAGUCAGAUGUUCGCCCCAACCCAGAUCUACAGGAUCCCCCAACGCUUUGGCGGCUACGACAUCAGACGGCUGAAGGAGCCCGCUGUCCAGCAGUGCCAGACACCCAUAUCUCCUCCUCCGCAGCAGGGGCCAACAUACUUGACACAAGGCCCGAGUGUCCAUCAGGGUGUCACGUGGAGGAGGUUCAAGCCACACCCAGGACACUAACAGGU
rnacentral:lncRNA from 1 species